CAGCCGUAAACGAUGCUCGCUAGGUGUCAGGCAUGGCGCGACCGUGUCUGGUGCCGCAGGGAAGCCGUGAAGCGAGCCACCUGGGAAGUACGGCCGCAAGGCUGAAACUUAAAGGAAUUGGCGGGGGAGCACAACAACGGGUGGAGCCUGCGGUUUAAUUGGACUCAACGCCGGACAACUCACCGGGGGCGACAGCUGAAUGAUUGUCAAUCUGAAGGUUUUACAUGACUAGCUGAGAGGAGGUGCAUGGCGUCAGUGACU
rnacentral:rRNA from 1 species